AGAAGGUGCCAGUUCCUGCUCCUAAGAAAGUGGAGGCUCCACCUGCAAAAGUGCCAGAGGUGCCCAAGAAGCUCAUCCCAGAAGAAAAGAAACCAACACCUGUUCCGAAAAAAUGCCAAAGAAACGUGAACCAGUUCCAGUUCCUGUAGCUCUACCUCAGGAAGAGGAAGUUCUAUUUGAAGAAGAAAUUGUUCCUGAAGAGGAAGUUCUACCUGAGGAAGAGGAAGUUCUACCUGAGGAAGAGGAAGUUCUACCUGAAGAAGAGGAAGUUCUACCUGAAGAAGAGGAAAUUCCACCUGAGGAAGAGGAAGUUCCUCCCGAAGAAGAAUAUGUACCUGAGGAAGAAGAAUUUGUACCUGAAGAAGAAGUCCUUCCAGAAGUUAAACCUAAGGUGCCAGUACCUGCACCAGUGCCUGAAGUGCCAAAGAAACCUGUACCAGAGAAGAAAGUCCCUGUUCCCGCCCCUAAAAAAGUGGAACCUCCACCACCACCCAAAGUGCCUGAAAUUAAGAAGAAAGUGACAGAGAAGAAAGUGGUCAUUCCCAAGAAAGAGGAGGCUCCCCCUGCCAAAGUUCCUGAGGUGCCUAAGAAGGUGGAAGAAAAACGAAUCAUUCUCCCUAAAGAAGAGGAAGUUCUACCAGUUGAAGUGACUGAGGAGCCUGAAGAAGAGCCUAUUUCAGAAGAAGAAAUCCCAGAAGAACCACCUAGCAUAGAGGAAGUUGAAGAGGUGGCACCACCUAGAGUGCCUGAAGUGAUUAAGAAAGCAGUACCUGAAGCACCUACUCCUGUUCCUAAAAAAGUGGAGGCACCACCAGCUAAAGUGUCAAAGAAAAUUCCUGAGGAAAAAGUACCUGUUCCUGUUCAGAAAAAAGAGGCACCCCCAGCCAAAGUGCCUGAAGUACCAAAGAAAGUCCC
rnacentral:lncRNA from 1 species